GAUGAAGAACGCAGCGAAAUGCGAUAAGUAAUGUGAAUUGCAGAAUUCAGUGAAUCAUCGAAUCUUUGAACGCACAUUGCGCCCGCUGGUAUUCCAGCGGGCAUGCCCGUUCGAGCGUCAUUUUAAUCCCUUCCCGGGGGACUCUUCUAUUCUGUAGUGGAGUGUCUACGGGGUGUUGGCAUUGGACGCCUUAUUUUUAGGCGACCGGAGCCGAAAUGAAGUGGCGGACUCGCAGCGGCCCCUAGCGUAGUAGAAACAACCCUUCUCGCUUAGGAGAGCCGUAGCGGUGGACCACAGCCCUACAUGCUUUUUUUUUUUUAAAAAAAAAAAGCUAUAUCUAAAAAACUUGACCUCGGAUCGGGUAGGACUACCCGCUGAACUUAAGCAUAUCAAUAAGCGGAGGA
rnacentral:misc_RNA from 1 species